rnacentral:rRNA from 1 species
CCAAUAGCGUAUAUUAAAGUUGUUGCAGUUAAAAAGCUCGUAGUUGAAUUUCGGGGUUAGUAGGUUGGUCAUGCCUCCGGUAUGUACUGGUCUCACUGAUUCCUCCUUCCUGAUGAGCCGUAAUGCCAUUAAUUUGGUGUUGCGAGGAAUCUGGACUGUUACUUUGAAAAAAUUAGAGUGUUUAAAGCAGGCUAACGCUUGAAUACAUUAGCAUGGAAUAAUGAAAUAGGACGUUCGAUCCUAUUUUGUUGGUUUCUAGGAUUGACGUAAUGAUUAAUAGGGAUAGUUGGGGGCAUUAGUAUUCAAUUGUCAGAGGUGAAAUUCUUGGAUUUAUUGAAGACUAACUACUGCGAAAGCAUUUGCCAAGGAUGUUUUCAUUAAUCAAGAACGAAAGUUAGGGGAUCGAAGACGAUCAGAUACCGUCGUAGUCUUAACCAUAAACUAUGCCGACUAGGGAUCGGAUGAUGUUAAUUUUUUAAUGACUCAUUCGGCGCCUUACG